rnacentral:rRNA from 1 species
UACGUGAAACCGUUCAGGGGUAAACGGGAGAGAUCCGGAUGUACGAAAGGGGGAGACUCAAUCCUGUCCGUACGUUGUUGGCCCUCCCGGCACCAGGAUGUAGCCGGCCGCCGGUCGAACCGCAAGGUUCGCUCCGGGUCGGAGUCGGGUGCACCGGUGUCGGGGGUCGCGUCCGACCGCGGCGGGGUGCACUUCUCCCCCGAGUAGGACGUCGCGACCCGUUGGGUUCGUCGGUCUAAGGCCCGGGAUAAAGCCCGCGGGGGUCUCCGUGCUUUGCGCGGGUUCAAGGCCCCCCGGACCCCGGUCGUCCCGGCCGGCGCCCGACGGUAGGUAACGCGGAGAAGGCCCGCUAUGUGAGCGUCCGGCCCGGUCGGCAAGCCGUUCGGUGUGUUUCGAGGGUAUGCGUGGCUUACGUCACGGCCUCGGGCCCCGUUGGCUGCUGGCCGCCGGUGUUCUCGGACCGUAAGCCAUCUCCCGUCCGCGACGCUUUCGAAUCGGAUGCUUUCCCGACCCGUCUUGAAACACGGACCAAGGAGUCUAACAUGUGCGCGAGUCACUGGGAUCAUGUCUAAACCCAGAGGCGCAGUAAAAGCGUGGCGUGCCCCCUCGUGGGGCCGCCGUGGGGAGGAUGGCGAGGCUUACCGCCCUAGCCCGCACUCCCGGGGCGCCUCGGCUCCGGCCGCAGGCGCACCCAGAGCGCACACGUUGGGACCCGAAAGAUGGUGAACUAUGCCUGGCCAGGACGAAGUCAGGGGAAACCCUGAUGGAGGUCCGCAGCGAUUCUGACGUGCAAAUCGAUCGUCAGAGCUUGGUAUAGGGGCGAAAGACUAAUCGAACCAUC